rnacentral:rRNA from 1 species
UACGGAGGGUGCAAGCGUUAUCCGGAUUCACUGGGUUUAAAGGGUGCGUAGGCGGAUUAGAAAGUCCGUUGUGAAAUCUCUGAGCUUAACUCGGAAAUUGCGGUGGAUACUAUUAGUCUUGAAUACUGUGGAGGUUAGCGGAAUAUGUCAUGUAGCGGUGAAAUGCAUAGAUAUGACAUAGAACACCAAUUGCGAAGGCAGCUGGCUACACAGAUAUUGACGCUGAGGCACGAAAGCGUGGGGAUCGAACAGG